GCUUUAAUAGUUUAGAUAAAAUAUUAUAUUGUGGAUAUAAAGAUACGUAUGUUUAGGGCA
rnacentral:tRNA from 1 species